CCUGCCUGCGCGCCGCCUGCUUCGCUUGCUCCGCCUAGCUACUCCGCGCCGCCUGCUUCGCUUGCUCCGCCUAUUCCGCGCGCCGCCUGCUCCGCACGCCGCCUGCUUCGCCUGCUCCGCCUGCUCCGCUGCCUGCUGCGCCGUCUGCUUCGCCUGCUCCGCCGCCGCCUAAUUCGCCUGCUUCACCUGCUCCGCCGCCGCCUGCUUCACCUGCUCCGCCGCCGCCUGCUCCGCCCCCUACCUGCCUCAUUAUUAGGUAUUUUUUCCCGGCCCCCUUCCUAAUUCGUUCUUUAACUCCACUUUCCUCUCAUGUUACAAUUAUUAUUAGGAUUUAUCGGUGAAGAUAUAUGCAUGGUGGAAAGUGUAGCAAUCAGUAGGAAAGUUGGGUGUAGCUAAUUUUCCAAAAUGCAGCCCCCACCCACUAACUUUUUUAGUUGGCUUUUCUAUUGCCUACUCAGCUGCUUUUACAUUCCCUUGUUUUACUUUCAAUAAAAUUUCAGUAUUCUUAAAAAAUUCUCUCUCGACACAUAAACGAAUGCUAUUGGGUCGUGUCUUGACACAGUAAGACGAGGAAAAAUGGAUAGUGUGUAUGCUAGUUUUAUCAAAAAAGGUUUUAGCAUUCAACUUUGAUAUGAGUAUUUAAUAGUUUUGUUUGGUAUAAGCUCUUAGUGUAGUAUUCAGCUAUAUAGACCGAACAUGAUUUCAAGUUUCAUUGAUUCUAUGUGUAGCUAUAUAUUAUUUUGCUACGUGAAGUAAUGCAUUUUUUCUUUAUUUUUGUCCAUUUAUUUUAUGCAGGUAUGACGUUGCUAGUUUGGAUGCAAAGUGGAAAAAUGUCAUAUACACUUAAAAGUUUUAGUUGACGCUUAGUGAAGAACAUUGCUUAGUUGCAUAUUUUGGUUGGUAGAAUUAUGUUUAAAGUACAAUGCAAAAAAUUCUAGUCCGUUGAACUAAUUCCCGUUUCUAGAUUAUUGUAAUGACUCUUGAAUAUUAAACUUUAUUUAAAUUUAUGUGCUUUGAUUUGUGUUUA
rnacentral:lncRNA from 1 species